UGCCUGAUUCUGGGCUGUAUGAUCUACCCAGACGGCUGGGACAGUGAUGAGGUGAAGAGGAUGUGUGGGGAGCAGACAGACAAGUACACCCUGGGAGCGUGUUCCGUGCGCUGGGCCUACAUCCUGGCUAUCAUGGGCAUCAUGGACGCCCUGAUACUCUCCUUCCUGGCCUUCGUCCUGGGAAACCGUCAGGAUGGGCUGAUGGCUGAUGAGCUGCUGGAUAAGACGGGUAAUUCCAUAUAAACAGUCAAAUACUGUACAAAGGUGUCGGUGCCCAUCAGAGGUAAAGAUAAUGUAACACAACGUUCCAGCUUCAUACCUGUCACUCUGGAAGUGGAAAGGAGAGCUACUGCUGUUGGGAAGAACAGAACGAGAAAAAGACGAAUGAAUGAAAGGAGGAGACACAUCCACUCCAAGAGAACCCACUUAGUAAAGACCAACCCCUACGGACCCUUUCUCAUCCAGGCAUGACCUUGAUAUUGGCAACAACAGAUGGAAGACUUCAUAUUGUUUUAUGAAAUGAAAUCCGUUACUGAGUGGACACAGUAGGCCGAUGACUUAACGGGCGGCAGAUAGCGUAGCUGUUAGAGCAUUGGGUCAGUAACYGAAAGGUCGCUGGUUUGAAUACYUGAGCUGACAAGGUCGUUGUGCCCCCUGAGCAAGGCGCUUCACCCUGAUUUGCUCCAGAGGCGCUGUACUACUAUGACUGACCCUGUAAAACAACACAUUUCACUGCACCUAUCUGGUGUAUGUGACAAUAAAACAUAUUAGGAAACAUACGAGAAAAGUUUUGUUUGUGAAAAAGAACAUGAGAUUCUGUCCCACCAUUCAAGGCCAUAGAAAAACACAAAUUAACCCAGCGUUUCCCAAACUCAGUCCUGGGGACCUCCAAGGGUUGCACGUUUUGGUUUUUGCCCUAGCAUUUGACCCAACUGAUUAAAAUAAUUAACUAAUCGUCAAGCUUUGAAAACUUGAAUCAGCUGUGUAGUGCUUGGACAAAAACCAAAACAUGCACCCCUUGAGGUCCCCAGGACCGAGUUUGGGAAACGGUGAACUAACACAUGACCGCACAUGACCGCUAGGCUACAGCAUUGGAUUGUUCAGACGUCUGAUCAAACAGAGCUGUCGUCUUUAUUGUGUCAAACUCACCUCUGGACCACAUGUACCUGAACUGUGGAUUCCUUCUUGACUUGUGUUCCACUCUUUGUUCUUCAUUGGACUCAUCAUUGUAAGACUGUUUACAGUGGGUGAGCAUGGGCCAUGAGAACUGUCUGGCUUGCUGAGCCACCUUACUGGACCUUACCUUAACCAUUUUAAAUCUAAUCUUCAACGGGGUGACAUCAGAGUUGGGACGUCCCACGGAUCCCAUUUAGACUUGUCCGUACUGGAAGACAACGGCUGACCAGAGAGUGAUGCUCCACCACUGACAUCACAUUAAAUGUCACUAAGUUGAAGGUAAAGAAGAAAUCUUGUAGCUGUAAUGAAUGACUGUUGUGAUAGAAUCAGAGGUAGAGAUCAGAGCCA